rnacentral:rRNA from 1 species
CAUCGGAACGUGCCCAAUCGUGGGGGAUAACGCAGCGAAAGCUGUGCUAAUACCGCAUACGAUCUACGGAUGAAAGCAGGGGAUCGCAAGACCUUGCGCGAAUGGAGCGGCCGAUGGCAGAUUAGGUAGUUGGUGAGGUAAAGGCUCACCAAGCCUUCGAUCUGUAGCUGGUCUGAGAGGACGACCAGCCACACUGGGACUGAGACACGGCCCAGACUCCUACGGGAGGCAGCAGCC